UUUCUGACUUUCCACAUGCGCAAAAUCAAAACUUAUUGUAUUGGUUUCUACAUUUAACACAAAAUGGAUUUAUUUUUAGUUACAAUCCAUUUGUAAUGAGGAGUUUCCCUUUUCCGUUCAAUUCACCAAGAUACACCUGCCUGGAUAUAUUCACUUGUACUGACUGCCUUUACUUCAGUUCCUAGGUCUAGAUUGGUGGAAGUUCUUGCAGUUAUUCUCAUUGCAGUGCAAAGUUUCUUGAGUCACCAGUUCUGGAAAUUCAUCUCUUAAUUUAUUUGCAUAGGAUAACUGAGGUGUCUGUUAAGUGCCUGAGAAAAUCCAUCUUAAUUGUGGCAGAGCUGGGCGCAGCUUCCAGGACUGAAGAAUCAACAGAACUAUAGUUUCAACAAGGAAUCAUUUAAAUUGUGAAGGAAAACCAGCAAAAAAGGUAAUCUUUAUUCUUUUUG